AGCAGCCGCGGUAAUUCCAGCUCCAAUAGCGUAUAUUAAAGUUGUUGCAGUUAAAAAGCUCGUAGUUGAAUUUCGGAAUCAGUACGUUGGUCGUGCCUUAGGUACGUACUGGUGUUACUGGUUUCUACCUUCUGACGAACCAUCAUGUCAUUCAUUUGGUGUGGCGGGGAAUCAGGACUGUUACUUUGAAAAAAUUAGAGUGUUUAAAGCAGGCUCGCGCUUGAAUACAUUAGCAUGGAAUAAUGAAAUAGGACGUUGAUCCUAUUUUGUUGGUUUCUAGGAUUGACGUAAUGAUUAAUAGGGAUAGUUGGGGGCAUUAGUAUUCAAUUGUCAGAGGUGAAAUUCUUGGAUUUAUUGAAGACUAACUACUGCGAAAGCAUUUGCCAAGGAUGUUUUCAUUAAUCAAGAACGAAAGUUAGGGGAUCGAAGACGAUCAGAUACCGUCGUAGUCUUAACCAUAAACUAUGCCGACUAGGGAUCGGAUGAUGUUAUUUUUAAUGACUCAUUCGGCGCCUUAC
rnacentral:rRNA from 1 species